GGGGAAUUUUGGACAAUGGGCGAAAGCCUGAUCCAGCAAUGCCGCGUGCAGGAUGAAGGCCUUCGGGUUGUAAACUGCUUUUGUACGGAAAGAAACGUCGCGGGCUAAUACCCCGCGGAACUGACGGUACCUGCAGAAUAAGCACCGGCUAACUACGUGCCAGCAGCCGCGGUAAUACGUAGGGUGCAAGCGUUAAUCGGAAUUACUGGGCGUAAAGCGUGCGCAGGCGGUUCGGAAAGAAAGAUGUGAAAUCCCAGAGCUUAACUUUGGAACUGCAUUUUUAACUACCGGGCUAGAGUGUGUCAGAGGGAGGUGGAAUUCCGCGUGUAGCAGUGAAAUGCGUAGAUAUGCGGAGGAACACCGAUGGCGAAGGCAGCCUCCUGGGAUAACACUGACGCUCAUGCACGAAAGCGUGGGGAGCAAACA
rnacentral:rRNA from 1 species